rnacentral:lncRNA from 1 species
AUUCACACAGCAGCCCUAGCCUAGCUCAGCAAAGCGCGCUGCUCGUCCCGGUUACUAGCACCGGGGGUGUGGGGCGGGCCCGAGGGAGCGUUCAUCUCGGAGACACCCUCCUCUCUGGCCCGCCACGUGCUCUCAGCUGGCCUGUACCGCAAGCCUCCCCCUGCUACCCUAGCUGGCCUUCCCGAGUGUAGGCGCCUUGAGGCAAGGCCGUCUAGGUAAGUAAUGAGUCCCCUCGGUGUCGGACCGAAGUAGGAGAAGAGUCCGGGCUGUUAAUCAGGAAGGGUGGGGGUGGAGGGAGGGGCAGGUGGGCUCCAAGAGGGCGGGAACCAGAGAGCCCAGAGAACUCUCCUGGGUUCUGAGGCAGAUAGCCUAACUUUGGGGCUUAUCUCCUCCCAUGUCCAGAAUUCUAGAGGCUAGCUGCGGGGUCACUUUAGGAGAUUAGUCCCUCUGGGUUCGCAGGUUGAGAUUCAAGGUGAAAUUGUUCGGGAUAGAUAAUUAUGAAGUGUGACGUCAGUUGUGACAAGCGGGACCUUUUCGGCUGUCUGAUAAUUGGUUCUUUGGUACGGUUGGAACCCAGAGGGCGGGUGUUACCUACAGUGUAGAUGACACUUACUGUCUCUUUUUGGCAAUGGGGUAUUUAAACCUUAAAUUAACUGGGGGAAAUUUUCAGCUGUUUUGGGGGGUGCCGUGGGAGGCGCUUAGCAGAAAUGCCCAGAACCUACUUUGAGUGUGGUGGGAACGUUUCGGCGCCUUGUUGAGAAGAAACGGGAAUGGAGGAGCAAAGCUACGUCUCCAAACACAGCUUCUUCUAGUGAUUAGGGAAUGAUGGCGGACCUGCGGUGUUUGAUCGGGAGAUGCAAACUAGUCAGACUAACCUAGAAAUGAGCCCAGGAGAGACUUCACAGGCCCUUUGCUAGAGGCGUGUUUGCACUGGUAGCCCAGAGGGUUUCCAGAGAGUGGCUUCUCAAAAAGAGCUCCUCCCUACACCUUGUAGCUGUUUGGAAUCUUGGAACAGGUGUUUGGGGGUUGGUUUGUAUUGUCUGAGUUUCCUAAAGCAGUGGAAUCCUCGGAGGAAAGAACCCGUAGGCAAAUAGAAGCCUAAGGAGUGUAGUGGGUUUCGCAGGUCAGACUUGGGGACUCUUGGAGGCAGCAGCGACUGUUCACCCUGGGACUGCCAGGCGCGCGGGGCCGGGAAGCCAGCUGGUGGCAGUCAGGCAUCUGGAACCAGAAUGAGGCUUGAAGCUUUCCAACUAAACCUGGGUGGGGGGGGGGCAGUCAAGGAUGUUGACUGUAAACACAAAGAAAUCUAGCAUUUCAAUGGUCUUAGUGCAUUCACCAGUUGCUGCACAUUGAUUUUAACUCACACGGAUUCGUGAAUCCAGAAUCGUCAUGAAUUUGACUUGGAACCCAAGGCUCAGAAAGUUAUUUGCCUUGAGCAAUUGCCGGUUCCUCUUGGGGAUACACAAUAUAUAGAUGAAGACUGUCCUAAGGGAGCUUAACAGAGCUGCACUAUCCGUCGAUACACCUUCACUUUCCACCAUAGUGGACACCGCGUGAGAUGCUUGGGGGUUUUGACUAAUUUGUAAAGGACUAGAAGCCCCCCCCCCGUCCUCUUUCUUGAAAGGAAGGAAGGAAGAAAGGAAGGAAGGAAGGAAGAAAGAAAGAAAGAAAG